rnacentral:rRNA from 1 species
UACGUAGGGGGCGAGCGUUGUCCGGAGUUACUGGGCGUAAAGGGCAUGCAGGCGGUCAGGCGCGUUUCGGGUGACAGCGGGUGGCUUAACUACCCGAGUGUUCGAAAGACGGCCUGACUUGAGAGCGAGAGAGGGACACGGAAUUCCGGGUGGAGUGGUGAAAUGCGUAGAGAUCCGGAGGAACACCGAAGGCGAAGGCAGUGUCCUGGCUCGCGACUGACGCUGAGGUGCGAAAGCUAGGGGAGCGAACGGG